rnacentral:tRNA from 1 species
GAGGGCAUAGCUCAGUGGUAGAGUGCGUUCUUAGUAUGCACAGGUCCUGGGUUCAAUCCCCAGUACUUCCA